rnacentral:rRNA from 1 species
UACGAAGGGGGCAAGCGUUGUUCGGAAUUACUGGGCGUAAAGGGCGCGUAGGCGGCUUAUCAAGUCAGGCGUGAAAUUCCCGGGCUCAACCUGGGGGCUGCGCUUGAUACUGAUUGGCUUGAAUGCGGGAGAGGAUAGUGGAAUUCCCAGUGUAGCGGUGAAAUGCGUAGAUACUGGGAGGAACACCGGUGGCGAAGGCGGCUACCUGGACCGGUUCUGACGCUGAUGCGCGAAAGCGUGGGUAGCAAACAGG